CAGCAGUAGCCACGGGAAUACGUAGGGUGCAAGCGUUAAUCGGAAUUACUGGGCGUAAAGCGUGCGCAGGCGGUUAUAUAAGACAGAUGUGAAAUCCCCGGGCUCAACCUGGGAACUGCAUUUGUGACUGUAUAGCUAGAGUACGGCAGAGGGGGAUGGAAUUCCGCGUGUAGCAGUGAAAUGCGUAGAUAUGCGGAGGAACACCGAUGGCGAAGGCAAUCCCCUGGGCCUGUACUGACGCUCAUGCACGAAAGCGUGGGGAGCAAACAGGAUUAGAUACCCGGGUAGUCCCUGUCUCUUAUAA
rnacentral:rRNA from 1 species